GCUCAUUGGAAGUGAAUCUGACUAGCAUCCGUGAAGAUGUGGGUUUGAUCCCUGGCCUCGCUCAGUGGGUUGGGGAUCAGCAUUGCCAUGUUCUGUGGUGUAGGUUGCAGAUGUGGCUUGGAUCCUGUGUGGCUGUGGCUGUGGCUGUGGCGUAGGCCCGCUGCUGUAGCUCUCAUUUGACCCCUAGCUUGGAAACUUCCGUAUGCUGCAGGUAUGGCCCUAAAAAGCAAAAAAAAAUAAAGGGGGAGGGGAUUAUUACAUAGAUUAGGUUCUCGCUGCUGAAGAAUUCAGGUAACUGCAGGGUUGUUUCUCAAUCUCCUUUCUUUUCCUGCUUCCUUUCUCCCUCUUCCUCUGUAAUCUUAGUUGACCAUCAGGUAAAGCUGAACAGAAUUUUAUGCUUCCUAUUUCUACUCUUUAAAGUGGAUGCAUGGAGGGUUUUUUAUUUUAUCUUUUAGAAAAACCCAACAAGUAAAUUAAAAUCCUUUGUAUUUGUGUAACUCUCCAUUGAUUUUCCUCUCCCCGUACAUCAGCCUCCCCACUUUCUGAGCCAAAGAAGUUGGUACUCCUUCCUUGUGGGGAGAAAACAGACCCAACAUGAGCCUCUGGACUUCACCACUUUAAACUUCGCUAUUUAACUCUCGUGGUAAUUUGCAUAGAUCUACAUAUGUUAUGCAAUCAGCCUGCUCUCCUUACAUUUAAGCCUAAAAUAAUUUUGCUUUUAUGAGGGUUUUCUUCUCUGCUGCCUUCUUUAUUUCUUACUCGUUCUGAGAUGUAGAUUUUUGUAAAAGGAAUUGAUGAAAGGCCAAGGGUAUAAACACGUUCCCAAACAGCCUUGGGGGAGAGGGGAACUGGGGAGGGGCAUGGUGAGACUGUCUUUGGGAUCCAAUUAUUCUUUCACCGGAUGUUUAUUGAGCACCUACUAUGUGCAAGGCUCUGUGCCACAUGCUAGGAAUAUAUAGUGGUGAGGAAGCCAGGUACAGUUCUUACUCACAUAAAGCUCAGACUCUGCCGGGGAACAUAGACAAUAGACAAAUAAGCACAUAAAUGCAGGCAUGAUUUCUGAUGCUAAUAAGUACGAAAAUGGAAACACAGUGAUUGGAAAACUGGUUUAGAUUGGGUAGUUCAUAGAAAGUCUCUCUGGAAAAGAGAAAUUUGAGCUGAGGCCUGAAUGAUAAUAAGGAGGCAACCAUGUGAACAGCUCUGAGCUUAGAGGGUUUAAGGAUCAGAGGGAGGUCUCGCAUUUCACAUGCUUCCAGUGCAAAGAAGGAGAAGCUGCCUCAAUUCAAAACGGUGCAAAAUGAAGGAAUUGUAUGACCUCAUGUAAAGAAGCCUGAGGGCAGAGGCGGCGGGGUUCUAAGGUUGGUUAAUUGAGUACAUCAGCCUCAUCCAGGGCCAGACCCUUCCCUUCUCUCUGCUCAGUCGCCCUCUUGUGCUGAGGUCCUUCUGGAUGCCAGGAGGGCCGCCACAGCUCCGCCCUCACGUGAUGUCCAGGGGGAGAGGAAGAGGACAAAUCCUUCCCUUUCAGAACAGGGAACCCCCUCCCCGACACUGUGCAGAUUCCCCUUCACCCCUCACAGCAGAAGACUUUCACCCCAUGCGUCCCUACACUGGUCAUCAGUAAGGGGAAUGAAGGGCUCCGGUUGGUUUAGAGGGGGUCAGAGGAGCAGUCUGGCUGCUACUGAACUUCAUGGAAGAACCAGUGCUCCCAACUCGCGACAGAAACAGGCUUCUGAGAGUAACACUGGGCUUCUGUGAGCAAGGAGAAGUGCGGGUGGCUGGCCUUCAUUCCUGCUCAGGACUACGGCUGUAGGACAGUGUGGCUAGAGCACUGGUUGAAGGGGUUAUUCUCCAGAUGGAAUUAGGGAAUGCAGAGUUUGUUUUAGGUUCUUCAAACUUCAUCUUUCAGAAUCCAGUAAGUCCCUAUUUUGCACCCAUUUCUCCCUCCAGCACUGUCCCUCUCCUUAUCCCCUCCCCCAAGAGCAGCCUCCGUCCCGCCCCGCCCCGCCCCCUGCUCUGGGUGUGGAGUUCUAGAAAGGCCGAAAGGCUCAAGUAUCAGACAGUGAUUCUACCACUAGCUGAUGACGCGGGGUGCCUCACUUCCCCGCCUUAAGGCUUAGUCUUGUCAUCUGUAGCAAUGACACAAUAACAUUUGUCCAGCUAGCUCUUUAGGGAGGUUGCAAGGAUCAAAUGGAAGAGUUUCAGUGUGUCCGUUGACAGCCCUAAGUGCCAUAGUUAUUAUUAUUGCUGUUGCCAUCAUUCAUCGUCCAACGAGACGAAAAAGGGUUUUAAAUUUUGAGUAGUCACAUCCUCCAGUUGCUUGGGAAGGACCAUUUUAGAAAGCCGUGUGCUCUGAGGGGGUAAGGGUGGUGGCCUUGGCUCCCUGUUGCCUUUCAUUCCCCCAGAGCUUUCCUCAGUGUCCCCCAGCCCCCAGCAGCCUUCCGUGCUUCGCAUCAGAGACGUCCUUAGAAACAAGCUGGGCUGAUGUCAAUAAAAUGGAAGCUAAAGCUGGCUGAGUUAUUAUCCUUUUUUCUUGAUAAAAAGAGUGGAUGUAUUUUCAUUACUGGCAGAGUGCUUUUAGCUGGUGCGGACAAUUAAGCCUUGGAAAUGCAGCAUCCAUUUCACACUGAGAGAAGAUUUGAGGGAUGACUCACCAGACACCCAGGCCCGGAGGAGCCAAAAGCAUGGCCACUGUACCCAAUAAUAAAAAUCACAGGAUUUUUUGUGGUGAGAAGGUAGCGCAGCCUGGGCUGACCCCAGAUGAUCUGCCCACAGUGGAUGCUGCUGUGCCUGCUGCUGCUGGCAGGAGAGCUGAGAGCCUUGCUGCUUCUCCACGGAUCUCAGAGCCUCCGCGCCUCCUCUACCUUCCGGCCCCCAUCUCUUGGGAAGCCCGGCAGGGGGGACCUCCAGGUUACGGGUAGUAACGUCUAUCAAAUGCUACCUUUUGGGUUCAGACCCUCCUCUUGGUUUUUCCUCAUGAUCUUUUGAUCACCUCCCUCACCGCUUAAGCCAGACUCUGUGUCCAAAGACUCAGAUCUCUGGGACCCACAGAGGUGUCCCGUCCAAAGCUACAGGAUCAAUGGAAAGCCCUCCUCUAGGAGACAAAGGACACGCCUCCGCCCUCCUCUUUCCUUCUCUCCCUUCUUUGUUCCUCUCUUUCAAAGACAACCCUGCAGUUCUAAUGUCUAGCCCCCAGAGGCAGGGGUGAGAUUGGCUUUCCUGCCCCCACCCAAACUGCGGGGAAGAGGCCUCCCGUGCAAAUUCUUGAAAGCAAUACCUUUGCUGGGGGUGUGGCUUCUCUCUACCUCCUUCCUUAAGAACAACUAGGGGCAGGGCCUGUUUUGCCACCUCCUUGUCUCUGCAUCUCCUGCUAUAGUGAGCUCUUAGAUGUUUGAUGAAUGAAUGAAUGAGUGGACGAAGCCACCUCUGUGUUGCUUUAUUUCUCGCAGGUUUAUUUCCUUGUUCUGUUCAACAUACAUCUCCCCCCAUCAUCACUUAGAAAGUGGAAAUUACUUCAGAGAUCAGGGACUGAGUACCAGCGGAGUGAAAGCAAUCUCGUACAUUAUUACGAUUUUUUUCUUAAACCACUUAAGCGCGAGUUUCCCUCCUGUUUACUGUGAGAAGGGAUCCCGAAUCAGUCAUGAACUUUUGUUUGCCUUGAGGGAGUGAGAGGAGAAGGCUGGGGUGGUUGUCCAAGCUUAUUAUCCUCCGCAUUACUCAGACGUGUUCCCCUGAGUUUUUGCAUGAUUUUAUUUUAAUGCUGUUAUUUGUAUUAGGCGAGUCUCCAGCUCAGCCAGGCCAAAAAGGGAGGCGGGGAGAACAGGGAGGAGCUGAUGGAAAAAGAAAUAUCCUGAAGGUUCCUGAUGAUCUGACCAUAGCUUUAAUAUGAAUCAAAUUUGCUCUAACCUCCUUUCCCCCAGUCAGCAUUUCUGCUCGAAAUAAUUUGUAAUUAUCAGACCCCACUUAGGCUAGAAGACUCCUUGCAAAGGACUUUGAUAUGAUUAGGGGAAGGCUUGGAAAUAUAACUUGUAUGGUUCUUGCCCUCUCUGCCAAUGACAUUCCUGGAGAAGUCACCUUGUCCUUCCCGGCAGGAGAAGGGCAGAAUAUCGGGCAGAAUAGGAAGCUGGGGACCAGACUUCAGGGUCACUGGGAUCGCUGCUCCAAGAAGAUGGUUUCCUCGAAUAAUGAGCCUGAAAGAUUUCCCAUCUCAGCAUUUCAAGAAUUGAGAGUCGGUGAAUGGCCCAGAGUGGGACGGUGCCAAGUACAUGCUGACCAGCAGCUAUGCCCAGCCCUUCAGCACGCAGGCCCUUAGGUAACUGCUCAGCUCGCAGCAUUGGUCAGUCCAAGAGAGUCCUGGUCUUGCUCCUGGCUGAGACUAGUGACAGUCCCCUCUACCCCUUGCCACAUCUUAACCCUUCAUCUCUGCAGCAAGUGAGCCAGAGAAGGACAGGCAUUAAGCAAAGGUACACUGAAAGAUACAGAUUUUGUUGAAAGAAAUUAAAGAAAACCUCAGUAAAUGAAAACACAUUGUGUUUGUUACCGAACAAACACAGGAACCAGGUUCAUUUGCUUGACACUUGACAAGCAGCAAGUAAAAUGCUGAGACACGGAGGUUUGCAGCAGAGUAAGGGUUUAGGCACAAGGCAGCCAAGUGAGGAGAUGUGAGAACAGGUCUUGAGUCCGCUUCCUUAAAGGUGAGGGGCUUGGGUAUUUAUGGGAUAAAGGAGCAAGGGGGUCUGAGUCGUGGGGAGAGAUGAUUGGAGACAAGGAAAAGGUGACGCAGCUGGUGUUCUGCGCGUGUGCAUCUGAGUCACGUGCUUCAUCACGGGAGGCAGGCUGGGAAAAUGGCUAUGUUAGCAUGAGGGUGCAGUUCUGGCCUUCUGGCUUCUAAAUGCCAACCAUUAGACACUGGAGUCGUCCCAGUUGAAUGAUUGGUGGUCUUGACUGGUUUGAACGGGGCAAGACUAACUCGAUGUUUCUGAAAAAAAAUUUAAGCAACUGUUGCUAUAGUCACCCAUACGUCAGAGGUGUUAUCUAUAGGUGGUUCAAGGAGUCUUGUGACAUACUGCCUAGGCUACGUGAAGCUUGAAAGGUAUGCAGUUUGCAGAAACAAUCACAGCAAGCUUUGUGAAGGCAGGUUACAGGAUCUUUUUUUAUUAAGUUUAAGGGAUCUGAUGACUGCCCUUGGUUUCACAUUCAAGGCAGAAUUGUUAUUGCGAAGAUGGUGACAUAUUCUCUACAGUAACUUACAGAGUCAACACAUUCCUAUCAAAAUGCUAGCUGCUCCACAAGAAGAAAGCUAAACAAACUGAAAAUCAACACCUUUUCUUCGAUUCCUCAGAAAUUGAGCUUGCAGGACAAACUGCCACCCUGAAAACCGAAGAGAUAGAUGGUUGUGGAGCAUAUGCAGACCGGCGUACCUGAAGAAGCUGCUGGAAUGGGAAGCAGUGAGAUUGAAGCACUGGGACUUGUGCCAGUGCAGGGGAUCCUUGAAAAUAUCGUGCAAAGUGAAAGGAGCCGGUCACAAAAGACUGUACAUUAUGUGAAUCCCUUGGUGGGAAUAUCCAGAAUAGACGAGGCCAUGGAGACAGAAAGUGGGUUGGUGGUGGUCAGGCCAGGGUGAGUGCGAAAUGAGGAGAGACUGCUCAUGGACACAGGGUUUCUUUGUGGGAUGAUGAAAAUGUUCUCUUGUUAGCUUGUGCGGAUGGGUGUACAAGUUGUAAAUGUAUUUUAAAAAUACUGAAUUGUUUGUUUUAAAACGGUGCGUAUUAAUCUAUGUGAAUCCUAUCUCAAUUAAAAAAUAAAGCUUAGGGAGUUCCCGUUUUGGCUCAACAGUAACACAUCCAACUAGCAUCCCUGAGGACACAAGUUCUAUCCUGGCCUCACUCAGUGGGUUAAGGAUCUGGCAUUGCCGUGAGCUGUAGUGUAGGUCACAGGCGUGGUUCUGAUCCUGUGUGGCUGUGGUGUAGGCUGGCAGCUGCAGCUCCAAUUUGACCCCUAGCUUGGGAACUU
rnacentral:lncRNA from 1 species